rnacentral:lncRNA from 1 species
CUUUGAUUGGUUAGACUAAUAACUAAGUAAGAGUUAGUUAUGAGUUAGUUAGUUAGUUAAUUGAAUUUACAUGUUACUUACUAUGCAAGUAACUCAUGUUUUGUAUAUAAACCUUUUGUUGAUUUUAAUGAAAAAUAGGCCUUUCCCAUUCUAAUAAAUGGUAUCUAAAGUACAGGUUAUCGAUUCUUGUAUCUACUAAAGAUCAACCAAAAAAU